rnacentral:rRNA from 1 species
AACGUAGGAGCCUAGCGUUAUCCGAAUUUACUGGGCGUAAAGCGCGUGCAGGCGGUUCGGUAAGUUGGAUGUGAAAUCUCCCGGCUCAACUGGGAGAGGUCGUUCAAUACUGUCGAACUCGAGGAUGGUAGAGGGAGGUGGAAUUCCCGGUGUAGUGGUGAAAUGCGUAGAUAUCGGGAGGAAUACCAGUGGCGAAGGCGGCCUCCUGGCCCAUUCCUGACGCUCAGACGCGAAAGCUAGGGGAGCGAACGGG